UACGUAGGGGGCAAGCGUUGUUCGGAAUUACUGGGCGUAAAGGGCGCGUAGGCGGCCUUCUAAGUCGAACGUGAAAUCCCUGGGCUCAACCCAGGAACUGCGUCCGAUACUGGGAGGCUUGAAUCCGGGAGAGGGAUGCGGAAUUCCAGGUGUAGCGGUGAAAUGCGCAGAUAUCAGGAGGAACACCGGUGGCGAAGGCGGGUCUCUGGGCCGUAACUGACGCUGAGGAGCGAAAGCAUGGGGAGCGAACAGG
rnacentral:rRNA from 1 species